CCCUUAGAUGUUCUGGGCCGCACGCGCGCUACACUGAUGCAUUUAACAAGCCUAGCCUUGACCGAGAGGUCCGGGUAAUCUUUGAAACUGCAUCGUGAUGGGGCUAGAUUAUUGCAAUUAUUAAUCUUCAACGAGGAAUGCCUAGUAAGCGUGAUUCAUCAAAUCGCGUUGAUUACGUCCCUGCCCUUUGUACACACCGCCCGUCGCUCCUACCGAUUGAAUGUGUUGGUGAGGAGCUCGGAUUGGCAGCAGUUGGUGGUUCGCCACCGGCUAUUGCUGAGAAGUCCUCCAAACCGCCCCAUUUAGAGGAAGGAGAAGUCGUAACA
rnacentral:rRNA from 1 species